AUGUAUGGCCAUACCACCCUGAACGUGCCCGAUCUCGUCUGAUCUCAGAAGCUAAGCAGGGUCGGGCCUGGUUAGUACCUGGUUGGGAGACCGUCUGGGAAUACUCGGUGCUGUAGGCU
ensembl:rRNA 5S_rRNA 5S ribosomal RNA